rnacentral:misc_RNA from 1 species
GGGCAUAAUGUGUUAAAGUAUGAAAGUCUCGGUGACUAUAUUUGCGACAAAGUUCCAAGUUUAAGUAUAUUCAUGAGCAAAAUCUCUGGAGAUAAAUCUUCUGCUUUUCCAGCCUUUGCUGCUCUUUCAUACUCCUUGCGGUUGCUUCAGAGGUUUGAGUUCAAAACUAAUCACGAAAAAUGGCUGAAGGCUACUAAACCGAAUUUAGGUCCUGGAAUAUCAGAACGAGUAUCUGAAGCCCUAGAGGCUACAUCUGAAAACAUAGACUGCGUUAAGACGGCAAGGGCUGAACUUGAAGCUGCACUUACUGAUCUUUUAGAGGAUCAUGGAGUCCUUGCGAUCCCUACAGUUCCCGGUCCUCCACCUAAGCUACGAACUGAGACAGCUGCAUUAGAGAAUUUCCGCGUGAGAGCAUUUUCCUUGCUAUCAAUUGCUGGGAUGUCUAGAUUUUGCCAGGUCACUUUACCACUUGGAAUGCAUGAUGGCCUCCCGGUGUCAGUUUCUCUGCUUGCUAGGCAUGGUGCUGA